rnacentral:rRNA from 1 species
GCUUGUCUCAAAGAUUAAGCCAUGCAUGUCUAAGUAUAAAUCUUUUACUUUGAAACUGCGAACGGCUCAUUAUAUCAGUUAUAGUUUAUUUGAUAGUCCCUUACUACUUGGAUAACCGUAGUAAUUCUAGAGCUAAUACAUGCGUCAAUACCCUUCUGGGGUAGUAUUUAUUAGAUUGAAACCAACCGCUUCGGCGUGAUGUGGUGAUUCAUAAUAAAUUUGCGAAUCGCAUGGCUUUACGCCGGCGAUGGAUCAUUCAAGUUUCUGCCCUAUCAACUUUCGAUGGUAAGGUAUUGGCUUACCAUGGUCGCAACGGGUAACGGGGAAUAAGGGUUCGGUUCCGGAGAGGGAGCCUGAGAAAUGGCUACCACAUCCAAGGAAGGCAGCAGG